UAAAGGUGGAGUAAUGCAAAAUGCACGUAGCCAGUUCCUAAAACUUAAAGUUCCUGUUUUCCCACUUGUGCACCAAAACACAGACAUGAUGAGGAAGUGGUUGGCAGCCCUAUGACACAGACUGCAUAGUUAAAGUUAGACAGACAUCAUCUUUUUCCUGUUAUUUGGUCAGACAACGCUGUAUAAGAGCAGUUUGUCAUGCUGGAGUCAUGCUGAUUCUCUGCUGUUAUUGUGAGAUGAUUCUCUCCACAAUGAGUGAAAUUAUUCCUAAAACUGAUGAAAAGAAGUGUAAAUGGCUAUCCAAAGUGGCUAUACAUCAAAGACACAGACAAGGACUGAAAAUAGUGACUUUCUUCAGGAAAACUCGACAGAACAAAGCUGUCCUUGUGACGACUGACGGCGUGAAUCAGAAACCCGGCUAACUGAUUCUCCAGAAGCUCCACGACAGCUUUGGCAUCUCCCUUCCUCGCAGGACCUUCCAUCAUCUGUUUGAUGCUCUCUUCAGGCACAGGCUGAGGGUCGCUGCUGAACGAGACCACCAGAAUCCUGUCCAUAUGAUUGCUUCUUCGACUUGACGUAAGAGUCUCUGCAAACGUUUGUGGCGGCUGACGUGAAAUGACGCAGAACAAGAAGUCUUCUGUGAUGUCAGACAAGCAUUGCCUGUGUGGCAAAUUGGCCACUUCCCUUGGACAGGCAGCCAAGUGAUCAAGACACAACAAUUGCAGACCAUCUUUAUCAAGCCAAAACACAACAAUACAACAUCUUCCUGAGUUUUCUUAGCCAGUGUUUUGUGUUUUCAUUUAAUGGAAAUCCUGAUGGUUUCUUCAAGGUAUGUUUUAUUUUUGUAACAGCUUCUCCUUAUUACAGAAUGUGCAAUAAUUUUUGAACAAUUCAAAAACGUUAUACUGGGCAGACUAAUGUGCAUUUUGUCUUUGUUUUGCCGAAAGUACAGUAUUGACAUUACUAGAUAAACAAAAUAUAAGGGUGCAUUAACAAUCCCAGUGGGUGAUAUGCAAGAUAUUAAGAUGUCUUAAAAUGUUUUUCUGUGAAGUAUCAAGUCUAACAAUUUAUUAAUCCUUGGCUUUGAAAAUAUUUUGAAUACCCUUCAAAGUUCUUCACUGAAAUUGACAUUUUUUUCUCCCACACCAUCUUGUCAAUAAAAUUUUUUUCUUCAACACCAGAUUAGAGGAACAAUCAUAGAGGUGAGUAAAAUGUAUCUCUGUGUAACACUGUCAAUAUAAUGCUGAGUUAAAAUAUAUAUUUAAUAUAUUAUGACAAAUGACAUACUGUACUGUAAAAUGCCAAAUAAAACCUGUUUCACCUUAUGUGCAGUUUUCGUCUUCGCCUAUAUUGAAUGUGUCCAAGUUAAUCUGGUUGUGAUUACAAAAUAUAACCACAUUGAAAUGAAAAAUAAAAUCACAUACAAAUUGCCAUAUUGUUGGUUGUAAAUGUAACAUUAAUUAUCACACAUAUGAGAAGUGUAUAUGUGUUGAUGCCUGUUCCAUCAAAACCCUUGGUGUACUUUACCCAUAUAUGUCUUUUGGCAAUAUUACAUAGAAACUGGAGUAAUAAUGUUUUUGUGGUAUUUAAGA